UAUUCCAUGUUUCGUUCUUUCUUAAUGCAACAGCUAUGUCAUAGUCUUCUUUGAAAAUUGAGUUGAAAAAUCUGCAACCAGUGAGGUGUGGAAGGUACUUCCCUUGUUGCCUCUGGGUCUUUGAAUUGGAGAAAUAAUCCUGAACUGUUGUUUGUUUGCUACAGGCGUCUUGCUUCCCUUAAGCAUGCAAUGGGAUUUGACAUCAGUGCUGUUUCUCCAUGCUGAUACUGUGAUUAAACUCCCAAAUCUGAGCAGAACCUCUUGAGAAAAUUUCAUGAUCUGAGCAACCUGCUGCAGCUUGUUGUAGCAGUGAAGGGUUAAGGCACUAACAGAAACUCGAGUACUUCUCUAAUUUAUAGAAGAAGCUAACAUAUGGGAUUCCUUCUACUGAAGAUCUUGCAACUCUGGAAAUAUUACACAGGCUUUGCAGUAGAAACUGUCAUAUGCCAGAAAUUCAGCUGAAUGCUUCUUGGAUUUCUCUGUCUGAACACCAUGGAGAUGAUGUCUGUCACAAUUGUACAGCUGCUGCAAGUGAUGGUGUGAUAAUUUCCAAAGCUGUUUGUGACUGAAAAUUAAGUGAAGUUGUGACAUACCUGGAACAGUCUUACUUCAGUGACCUAAACUACUUACCUCUGAGAGGUCUGUGAAGAAUACAACACUUACUGUUCUGUCAGGUCUCUGCAACAUGAUUCUUACACUGAGAUGGAUUUAUCCUUACAGAUAUCCCCAGACUUGAGUGCUUGGUGGACUGCAUUGUGAAAGCCAUUGCCCUGAGGUACCAGUCACACUGAACUGAGCCUAAAGCUACUAAAAAGUUGAAGAUUCUGGCUAUGAAAAAAUAUCUAUUCU